AAUUGGCCCUUGGCCGGCCACUCCCUCCUCCUUUGGUCAUUUUUCUCACACUCCACUCCCUCACACUCUCCUCUACCUCUCCCCCACGAAAAUGCUGCUGCCCCUUGCUCCCAUGGCCGGCCAUGGCCAUGGAAGGCACUCCAAGAUGAAGCUCCCUCCUCCCUCAAGCUCCUCCUCACCAUGAGAGCCUCCCUCUCCUUCUUCUCCCCAACCCUAGAUGGUUUUCUCUCCUCUUCCUCUUCAUCCAUUGCUAAGAUUGGAUCUUGAUGCAGGUGCAUGUUGGUCCAAGCAUGGAGAAGCUUGAGCUAUCCUCAGAUCUGAAGUUCUUGAGCAAAAUCCAAAUCGAGUGAUUCAAAGUUCCGCAGAUAGAUACGGAAAAUAUCCACAACUUGGCGUUGGUCUCAUCCUCAAAUUCGUUACAGAUUGUCCGUGGUGAAAGCCCUCUUCAAUACCUUCAUUUUGGCGGUGGUUUCACUUCGAUUGACCUCCUGAAACUGAAAUGGUUCACAGGUCAAGAUCUGGUCAGAUCUGACUUUGUCGAAUUAAACCAGGAGCUUGGGAACGAAUCUUUGAGUGAAACAAAUUGGGUAAGAACCACCUAUUCAAUACCUUUCAGAUGCAGCUGACCUCAUAUUUUUGUGAUUGAUGUACGAUUUGUGGUGAAUUAAACUUGUUCUGUGUG